GCAAAUGAUGACUUAAACAUUCUUCACUUUGACCUGACUGUCUGGUGAUGAGAAGCUUCCGUCUGAAU